CAUACGUUUUUAUUAGUCUAGAUGUCCAGGAAUAGUUCUUCAGAGUUAGAACCCAGAUUCCUAUGUGCUCCCUUAAUAUCGAGAGUUCUGGAGAUCAGUGAUAAGGGAUGGAUAUAAACCAGAUCAGAGAGGAACGGGUUUGACUGUGAUCCUCCCUGCCAGCAUCAUCUCUAGAGCGGGUUGUGAUACAAAGCGUGUGGACUGUGUUGACAAUUGACUGUAGGUUGGCCGAGCUCUGAUCGAUGCAAAAGCGUGCCACGAAGGUGAGCUCUGGGAUGCACGAGUCAGAAGCCAUUUCACCGCGUACUGUGGGUGUUUUCGAAAGAGCUGUAAGGCUUUCCGGUGGAAUGGAGUUGUGCUUUUCGUCGUUAUAUUAUGCCCAUGUUGUGAUUUUUUUUUCCCUCAUGGAAAACCUGAAGCGGAUGCAUUGUGAGAGUGUUAGGUUCUGAGUGAAAAGAGUAAUUUCAUUCCAGGAGGCCGAACUCUAUGCUGUCAGUAGGUUCUGUGUUGAGAAUGCCACAACAAGAGACAAGCAGUUGAGGGCAAUCCUGCUUACUCUGUUUGGAACACAGGGGCCUGUGGCAAAGCAGGAGAAACACCCAGUCUCUGAAGGAAAACAGUCCAACCUUUUAGUUCUGACUAACUCCCGGCUGAAAAUAGUUCAUUGGAUUUGGCUUUACUGAAACAAACAUUAAAGUUAGAGUUAUAUUAAAAAAAAAAACUUUUUUGCAUUUCAAAAUUAAUUUCUGUGCAAAAGGGUUUCCCCAUUUUCUCCUCGGGUCCCAGAGCUUUCAAAGACAUUAAACUUUGCAGAGUUGACUUUUGCUAAAGUGCACAGUGAACAUUAAAAUUAGAAAUAGUCGAGGGGAAGAACAGCUGAGCGGUGAGCCUGUGUGGCCAUUCACUGUGUCAUUCAGGACGGGCGGAUGAGGCAACUGUGCUCUCCUAAUCUGCCCUCUCCUCAUUCAUAGGCGGGACACGUGCACAACUUACUAAUCCAGCAGCAGGACUAGAAUCGUAAACCACUCACGUGCUGUGUGCAAAUUUAGAUAAAGCAGAGGUACAUAGGGGUUACUGAUGCUAUGAUCUCCCACCAUGGGGAGUGUACGGUUUUAACAGGAAGAGACCCAUUUUUAUGUCAACGUACAUACCGUGAACCUUCUAUCUUCUGAAGACUGUUAAUGUUGCUACAUGUCAUGUGCUUCCUAUGUGACCCUGUAGAGUGCUGGCAGUAAGCAGUCUUGCAGUGGCAAGGCUUGGCGGACAUCUCAGAUUGUAGUCUGCAGACAGGAAGGUGUUGUGCUUAAGGGGGGAUGGACAUCUGAAGUGUGCAUCCUCCUGCCCUUUGCAGAGGGAAUUUUCCCAAGCUCACGGGAUCCAGGCACACAGAACUUCCAACAGGGAAGUGUUUCAUUGCAUUGAAAUCUGAAGGUAGCUUACCCCAAACCAGAGCCAUGUCAGGUAAGGUGACCACGUUCUUUAGGAGAAGUGGUCUUCGGUUUUUUUUUUUUGGGGGGGGGGGCUACAAAACCUAGAAGUAGUUUGAAUUUUAGGGGACAGUCUGGUUUUGUUUUGUUUUGUUUUGUUUUGUUUUGUUUCAAGUAUAUCUAAUUUCUAUUUCUCCUGUGUGGAUGACAUUCAGACUUAGUCAUCAUUUUCAUCUACCGGGUUAUUUAACCAAGAAAUGGAAUGGUGACCGAUACGUGUUUGGUGACCAUGACUACAAGUAACACUAAGAGCUUCUGGAAAUUAUGGUAAAAGGAGGGUGUGUCAGGGCCAAUGCCUGCUUUACAGUAAGAGACUACUGUGGAAUCCCCCCUGUUGUCAAGUUACUUAUUCUCCAUGGGAGAACGCAUUUUAUCAAUCAUUGCUAACCUUGGGAGGCUGCAGACUAACCCGGAACCUGGGAACAAAGCAGAGCCAGGGGAAGAUUCCGAAUUCAUGAUUUGGUUCUGUUAUUGGAAGAAAAGGAUGGGUCUCGUUCUCAUCCAGACAGCCCCACCUGUCACUGACUGCUCCCAUGGAAAGACAAACUGGCUCCUGCCCUUAAAGUCCUGGUUGCAUGAAGUGGACAGUUCCAGACAGUGGCAAAGUGUUGCAACGCAAAGGCCUCAAUAGGUGGAGAGGCAGAUCUCAAAUGAAUCAGAACCCCAAAUGUAGCAAGGUUGUAUUUUAAAGUACAUUCAGUCAUGUUUGUUAAGUUAAAUGGUUUCUAGGUGCCCACCAAUGUUCUCUACCUUCUUGCUUUCUCAGCAGCUCUCUCCUUGGUAAAUCUUAGGUUGUUGACUGUAGGCCAUUCCCAAGUGUCACUAAGUCAAGUUUUGUUAAGUCUUUCUGAGAUGAGGAGGUGCCUGAUUUUCAAUUUAGAACAAGUCUUAAGAGUUAGAACUUGUCCCUCCCCUCCCCCCCACAAGCUCCAAACCACUUCUGUGCCCCUAAGAGGAUAACAAAGAGCAUCAAAUCAUUCCUAAAGGAUCCCAUAGUGGUGGUUCCAAAAGAAUGUGUCAAAGGCUUUCACUCUAGGGAGGCCUCUUGGCUGUUGAGCUCAGGGGUGCUCAGUGCCCAGUAGUGUUUUCCCGGGGGCAUUGAAGUGUAUUCUGAAUGACAGGAGAAGCUUGGUCCAUGAGCGCUUAUGCUGGGAAGCAGCCUGUUCCGUGAGCAGGGGCCCAGGUUCUGUUCAGGUCCAGAACUGCGGGGCCUCUUUUCCUGCACAAUUGAAAGCCUUGGGAGUGUUAAGGAGGAAUUAGAGGCGAUGUGGGUUGCCACUUACAUUUUGCUUAUUUUUCCUGGAUGAAUUUAAUCCAAUAGCAAAAUGAAUUUUGCAAAACUUUUACCCACCCACAAAUUUUCAUGAAAAUGUCACUGACCAAAGACAGUUUUAAAUUUUGUAUGAAUUGACUCAUUUCUCCACAGGCAUUUUUUCUGGCAAAAUUCAGCGUAUUUGCUUUGGCUUGGAUAUGGGGCAGUUUGCUUUUUAAGUAACACUGGAUUAUGAGCACAAGAAAAUAAAUACAGAGCUGGGGCCAUGUCCCCAGCUCUCUUUUAUGGCCUGAUGUAUGGUCAUGGGCCAGCUUUGGCCAUAAAAGAUAUUUUUUGAGAGAAAGUAAAUCCGUUGUAAAGUUUUCUCCCCGUCUACAACCUUUAUUUUGUUAUUUUUGAUAAGAUUUGGCAUUGAUUUGAUUACCACAAUUACAUGACCAGAGAGGACCUUUGGAAAAUAUUUGACUAUAAUUAUUAUUUAACACAUCAAAACCUUUAUAUAGGCAGCAAUGGGUAAAUUUGCAUAGUACCAAGUAUUGAUGAGUAUGGAGAAUGGUGUGUGUGUGUGUGUGUGUGUGUGUGUGUGUGUGUGUGUGUGUGUGUGUGUGUGCGAGUGCGCGUGCACGGAAAAAUAAGUUGGUGUAACCAUCUUGGAGAGCAAUUUGGACAUUCAUAGUAAGUUUGAAAAUGUGUAUAUUUAACAGAACCAUGUUUAUGUGUCUCUCUUACAGAAUCCUUUACGUGUCAGAAUAGAAACCUAGGAUGAGACACAUGUCGCAUAUGUGGUUUUAUUUAUAUAAAAGUGUAAUUAACUCUACUUCCACAGACAAGGUAAACCGAUUUGCUAUGGUUUAUUCUUAUGUAACACUAUGAAAGAGUCUAAGAUUAGUGAAAUACACUCCACAUGGUGAAUUUCACAAGAUAAAAUUGAGUAAAAUGCUAUGUGCAAAAUGUGGUAUAAUCCAAUUUAUGUACAUUGAAACCCACAAAAAAAUUAGAAAGGAUUUUCAGAUAAACAAUUAUGUGGUCAAGCAAAUCCUAUGGGCAGGAGAACCAGUAAUCUUAGGGUAGUGGAUAUUUCCAGAGGGGAAAGAAAUGUACAGAAAUAGGAUGUACGGAUUUGCUUCUUGUCCUUCUUAGAGAGGGACUGAAGUAUAGGUUACCCUUAAUUUCUGGCUGUAUCUGGUGAUGAUACAGGUGUUGCAGGGCCAGCUUAUAUAUCCUCUUACUACUACUUGAAACGUUCUACAGCUCCGUAUUUUUAUCCUAAUACAGUAGGAAAUUGAUUAGCACACACGCCAGUGUUUUUCCACACAUACCGUUUUUCAGAUGAGAACAAAGCUGAAGAAAAUUGAUUUUUUUCCAAGGUUAUUGUUUAGCUGUUCCUCACUUAGGGUCUCUUUGGCAACCUAACUUUGCUGACGUGGACUCACCCAGAGUGCUUUUUAGAGCCCCAGUGCCUGGCCUCCACUCCAGGGUCUAGGGUACGAUAGGUUUGGGUAGAAGUUCCUGUAGGAGGUUCUAAUGGGUAGCUGUGCCUGAGAACCAGGGCUCUCAAAGCUUCUAAGUUCUGACCUUGAGCUCGAGAGGUUGGAACCUAACGCGUCACUGUUUCAAGUGUGGAGAGGCUGUGUUUAGGACUGAGCAUCUUCUCAUUCAUAUUAUUGUCUGAUAGUGACCAGGGUGGACUCACUUUUCUCACAAUAGAGCACAUAGAGGGGAGAGUUGAAGGAUCAGAGUGACCCGGGGCUCGGGUAGUAGCUUUGCGAGUGACUGACCUUCAUACGUUCACAGGGGGAUUGCUCUCUGCCUGUAGUUCAGGGUUGAGGUGAGAGUAAGCUGAGAUUCAGGCUUAUCACUGUCACCUUCCUGACAGCCGCACGGAGAAAUUGGUCAUGUAUUUCCCGUUUACAAAGGGGAGAGUAGAUCCUUUCCAAACUCUCUGCUCCAAAACAAAACAGAAAAACCCCAAAACCUAUGUUCAAAACAGUUGCUGUGUUUAAAAAAAAUACUGGAUUUUUCCUUUUCUGUAAAAUCUGCCUGAUACGAUUAAAUAAAUAAAAUUAACAUUAAUAUCCUCUUUGUCUCUUGAGGCUGAAAUACCACCAGUUAAACAUCUGGUAAAGAUCAGAGACUCUAACUUCCAAGUCAUUUCCCACAAGGCACUGGUCUGUCAAAGAUCAGGCACAGACUCGGUGAUUUCAAACAGUACAGUUAAGUCUUGAGUUUUUUUCCUAGUGGAUUUUUAUAUGAGGGAAGUACAAACAUACUCAACUGUGUGUGUGUGUGUGUGUGUGUGUCAACAUAGAUGUUACCAUAGUCUUCGAGUCCGUAAGAAGAGGGAACAGUGAAACCACAGAAGUUACCAUCAGAUGGGGAAUUGACCACGUCUAGAUGGCGUCCGUCAAAUCAGAUUUCACAUCCCAAGACUGGAAACCUGCCAUUUGGUAGUGGUUUAAUUUGAUUUCUCUAUAGAAAGCGUUUAAUCCACUUUACCUGGGGAACUAGCCUUUCUUGAACUUUGCUCUGAAAAUUAAUUCAUAACAGAUCGCGGCAAAUGUUUUGAAGAGAAUCCUGGUUUAAAUUUAUUUCUCUGUGAUUCUGAGAUAAUAACAAAUAAUAGAUAAUGAGAGUGCCUCUAAGAGGUUAAUGUCUGAGAACUCACUUUCAUUAAACAAGAUCAAUAACUACUCGAUAGUUAAUGUUCCUUUUAGUUCACGUUUAUUUUCUGGUUCAUCUCUAAUUUUAUGCCCUGAAAUAACAUUUUUUAAAAUUAGAAUUAUGCAAAUCUUUCCACAAAUGAUUAAUUACUGGAGUAUAUGUCAAACGUUUUGAGUUUUGUUCAUGUAUAGUUUCACAAAUGUAUUUUUCUUCGCUCUUUUAAACUGCAACGGUGGAAAACUCAUUUGGCAAUUUAUUAGGAAGGUCUUUAGUGACCUUUGGAAUAGUUUUUAAUUACCUCUUUUUUUUUUUUUUUUUUGAGUGGUCAUGUUGACAUCUUCAAGUCCAGACAGAAUUUGAUCCUGUAGAAUAAAAGAACACACCUGCCCUUAAACAAGUUUUUUUUCUAUGCAGUUAUUAGUUCCUGUAGUAAUCAUUGAGUCAACGCUUUUAGAUGGUCAUAAGACAAUGGUUGUGUUAACCCUGGACAGUGGAUGUGUGUCUGGCAAACCCAGAACCAGGGCCAGACAUGCCUGAUUUCACACUUAACUAACUGUGGGCAGUCAGGUGGCCUUUUCCUGUACAAAUACUAUGGAACCUAAAUAGCUCUCAUUAGUCACAUACACUUGGGUGAGGAAGUGGGGUGAAGCCUGCCCUUACCUGAUAGCACAGUGUUUAUAUUUUAUUUUCUUGGGUCAUAGUCAUGCAUUUCAGUAGGGAGGACAGCUAAUUCUUUAGGGGAAUUUUAAGGACACUUUAAAGACAAUUAAAUUGAAAAAUGAUUUAGAAGAUGGGAAAUAAGAAGACUGGGCAGUGUGCUGAGUAAUGGGACUUGGUCCUAUGUCAUUGGGAUAUUAUUGUGAGCCAGGGUAUGUAUGGCAUCUGUACUGACAUGUGGCCUCCAUGAGGAUUCCUUUGCUUAUGUCAUCAUUGAAUGCGUAUUCUGAAGUAGACCGUACCCUGGAAGCCAGAUAAGUACAUGAGCUACUCUCUUCUGGAAUUCACAGUCCAGGGAUGACCCACAAGCAUAUGUUCAACACAAAGCAGGGGCUGCGAAAAAAGUCGGGAGAGGCUCCCAGCUCUGCAUGUAGAGACCCAACUGCCCUUUUAAGGGAGGCUGACAUCUGAAAGGAGAGUCGAUAUCCUGUAGAGAAAGGAAGGAGGCCAUCUGAGUGGAGGUGCCACAAUAUCUCAGUAGAAGAAAUGGCUUCUGAAAAGUUGGACAGAUCUAGAUACUAGGUAAGUGUGGAGUGGAAGGCCGUAAGGACCCCCAAAGAACAUCUAGUGUCCAAUUGGGACAUUAUUACAGUUCAGACAAUCAUAAGCCCAGUUAGUAUAAAUGGAAAUCGAGUUAAUAAAGCAAAGCCCAUAGGUACCAUCUUCACUGAGGAAGCAGCACUGUUUUGCUGCAUGUGAAAUGAGCCAUUGACUCCAGCCAUUUAAUCACCGUCUCUUAGGUUUACGGUUUAAUUCUUUACUACAAUGAGCCUACAAGCUGGGUAAAUGGCUUAGUUGGCAAAGCACUUUCUACCCAAAUGUGAGGUAGGGCUAGGUGGAGAUCCCGAGGACUCACACAAGCUCCUGGGUGUGGGGAUGUAUUUCCCUGAUCUGGCAUCCAGGGGACAAAACUCAGAGGGAUUCCUGUAGCUCAUUGAUCUCCAGAUCCAGUCUGUCUUAAAAAUAAGGGAGAAUCGAGGAAGACAUGCGUCUGACUCUGGCCUACACAUGCACGGAUGCGCACUGUACACCACCUUCAUGUGCACGUGCACACACAGUGCAUCUGCUUUCUCCCUUGCCAUGUGAGCAGCUAGGGAGACGCAUGCGUGAGGACAAGCAAACGCUUUUCUGUUGUGGACUUUAAAGAUAAACAAUUUAAAAAAUCCGGGCAGGCCUGGAGAAGGAGACCAGGGCUGUUUGAUCAAUUAUGUAAAAUGAUUAACAUGUGGACAGAGGCCGUGUCCAUUAUCCUGCGCACGAGUAACUUUCCUGUAGUUAAAUAUUUCCUUUAAUAAUCUGUAAGGAGACUGGGGCACUGUUAAACAGAGCUGCGGCCUGGUGCUCGUUAUGCAGGCUCAUCAGCCUCUUAGCCUUCUCAGACACUGCUGACGUUCAUUUUGGAUGUUUUUUUUCUCCCUCCAGCUCACACUAAUUAAUAGGGAACAGAGCUAAACGCUUAAGAUGUUAAGUGGGAAGAGAAAAAAGUAAAUCAUAAGCCCAGUUAGUAUAAAAGGACUCUCUUUUCCUAGGGAUCCUUUCAGGCCCCAGACCACGGUCAACCAUGGCCCUCUGUAGAUUUCUUCCUGGAGCUGCACUGGCUGCACUGUCCUUGGUUGGGUCACUCGAGGCCCCAUCAUUUGCCUACGGCAGGGUUGCAGGCGUUAGUAGUGCUCCCUGUGGGGUCAUGUGAGUGGUCUUGGAUCUUUGCUCUUAAAAGUAAGGGCGGCUUCUCAGGAUUAUCGUACAGAACAAUGGCUGUGCUUUAGAAUGUUUCUUUGAUAGCAUUCCACUGGGGACCCACACUGCUGAGUGUGACUUCCAGAAGAAAUUUGGCUAUGCUGAAUUCUCCUCGGCCAUGCACGGCCCUCUCGGUCCAUUCCCAGUCAGCGUGCAGUUUGUCAGCAAAAGGUUAGAUGGCACUAACUGGACUGGGGUUUGAGAGAAUUAGUAGAGAAGGGGAAAUGGAGGGAGGACUCUGUUGUAUAAAUGAACCUAAAGUAGAAAUGUGUUCCCAUUUUCAUGCAGGGUGGCUCUGUCUGAGGGAGGCUCCUUACCAGGUCCCUGACUUGUACUCUGCUCAUAGUUGAGGCUCACUUCAGGGAAUAAUUGAAAGAUAAAUUCAUACAUAGAACAGCAAGUGUCUGAGAAAAGUUUCAGAGUGUGGGCCUUCCCAGAGGGAACUGAGCUUGACAAGGAAGGAAGGACACAGUAAACCUCUCCCUUGAACCUAAAAUUCCUCCAGGGUAAUGGAGGGGAAAGAAAAUGGUUGUGCUAUGAGCUGUUAGCUUAAUUUAAUUCUCACAGCACUUCUUAAAAGUUACUGGUGGGUCCUGAGACUGACUCUGAAUCUGUUCCUUCUACUAUGCACCCAUUUACCAUGUCCCUAGAUCCUACCAUAGCUCAGUAAUUAAUAUGUAAGAAGCCACAACAUACACACACACACACACACACACACACACACACACACACACACACACACACACAGAGAGAGAGAGAGAGAGAGAGAGAGAGAGAGAGAGAGAGAGAACGAGCAAACACAGCACAUGGAACUUAGCUGCUAAAUACAUUGAGGUUCAUUAGUCUGCUAUUUCUGCUUAUAUGGAUACUUGACAUUUUCCACAAUAAAGUAUUAAAAAUAAGUAAAAUAUUUUGACCUAACUUUUGGAAUGAAGAGUUUGUUCUCUUCACCUUCCACAGGGUAGCAGCACCUUGCUUUUUUUCUGGGUAAGCUAUGAAAGAGAAUUGGCCAGUUUCCCAGUGUUUUUUUGACAGUUUCUGAAAUCACCUCGUUUAAGAAUGAGAUGAGGGCUGGGUGUGGUGAUGUUCAUAUCUGCAAUCCUAGUACUUCUGAGGCUGCUGCAGGAGGCUGGGGAGUUUGAGGCCAGCUUGGGAUAGGUAAUGGUGGACAGGGAAGGGGAAGGGAGAGAAGGAGGGAGGGAGAGAUUCCUAUCACCCUUAGGCAGUGAUUUGCAAAGGUAAGAGGGAGGAGCAUUGUAAAAUAUAUUAAGAUGAUAGCAUGCUGCCACAGUCAGUUUCAGAUCUGUGUCUUGGUGUAGUAAAAUCUUACUUACUUUCCAGGUUAUAAUAUAGUUUUUUGCAGUUGUACAGUAACUCAGGCCCUUCAGUAUGAGUACAGCAUUCUGAGCCUACUAUGAAGGAGAUUUUAAUGAUGAUUAUCAGCAACUGCCGGUCAAAGUGAUGCGUCUCCUCCUUCCCAUGAUUGGACAGGACUCAGGCACAUGGUGCACAGCUGCAAGGGAGGUUGGGAGUGAGGUCUUCCUGUGGACUCAGGAGAAAACAUGGGGUAUUGAUGAAGGUAUCAGUUCAUGGAGCCAAAGUACUCCUCGUUUCCAUCCCCUGUGCAGGCCUGUUCUGACCUCUUGAAGAGAAGAGGCCCUUCCGUCAUUUUACUCAGUCUCUGAGCUUCCUGUGAGGGUGUUGACCACAUCACAUCACUCUGUUUGGUUGGUUUAAAGGGAAUUUUUAUCAGUGCUAGCCCUGGAAUUUUGCUUUUCCAUUUGCUAAGUCUUUCCCAGCCCAACCGUCUUUUUUCCCCCAUUUUCACUUUCCAAAGAUUGCACUGUCCCACAGUCACCCCUGCUGGGAAACUCUCCUUAUCACAAAUGGAUUACUCAGUUUCCCCACCUUACCCAAAUUGCAUGUUCUGGGUGCAUGAUUUGUGGUUGAUUGUCAUCUUCUAAACCCUGGGGCUGUGUGGUGUUUUCCUGUCCUGCGGGCAUCUAGCUUUUAGGAAUAUCUAGUCAUUACUGAGGGCAAGGUCACAGAUGAAUCACCGAGACACUCACCUACGAGCAUAGAAAUUUGGGUGUUACUUUGCCAAGGCCCUGAAACACAGCAUUUACCUUCUGUUCAUAAAGCACCCUAUCUGAUACACACAGUGGGGUUAUAAACGUUCUUAUGUUCUCUGAACGCUUGCUUUUAGUCAUGAGCUGGCACAUACUCAAGGAAAGAAUGGCAGUGUACCUCUGUGGGCACUUUUGGUUCAUUUCCAUCAAUAUAUUCAAACAAAACGAAAUUGCCCGACUCUUUAUAAUGUGCCCUUUAGUGUGUUUAAACUUGCAAAAUUAUCCCUACAGAUGACAAAUCGUAAACAUCACACAAAACCACAGCCCCGGUUCAAGGCCUAUCUCAGUGUUCCGCUGACACUCACCCUUCUUAGAAAUGUUUAAAAGUGUUUUAGGAAAAUGGAACAAGGCAAACAGGCUUAUCGGCAAUAAAAAAAAAUCAUCGAUUCUAAUUAAGAGGCGUCACAUAUGCAGAAACAAAGCCGCUUUUGUGUGAUGGAAAGUCGACCUGCUCUCUCAGAUGCAUGGAGUGCUUUCCAGUGGCUUUAGAUAAUCACGCUGACGAAGUUUCAGGGCCCUGACCUUUUGGCCCAUCUCAAGUGAUUCAGCUGUACUUGUUGAAACUUGUCUAAGGUGUUAGUGGGAGGUGUGCUGGAUACGGUUGUUGUAAAAGCACAGUGGCAAGGCAAGCUCUGUUUUUGAAAGCCUCCAGCUGCAUCUUGAACAGAGGUGGGAAGCACCAGUGUUCUCAGGGCAAAGUCUGAGUGUAUUGAAACUGUUUCUUCCUGAUAGCAACCAUUUCCCAUAGCAGCCUAGUAUGCUGACCCACUGCUGGUGAGGACUCCAGCCUCUCUGCCUGUCUGGGUCAGCCUGAUCCUGUUCCAUUGUGUGUUCCUGUAAGGUUGCAUUUAGAUUGUGACCCUGAUUUUAUGCUGUGUCCACAGAAUGGGGUCUUUAUGACGGAACCAGUCAAGGAAGGCACUGUACAAUCCGAGCAAAUAAUGGAGAAAUCACUCUAAUUGCUUACUCAAUUGAGGUGUUAAAUCAAAAUCAACAACUGUGCCACACGCACUUUCCUUGAAUUCAGAACUUAAGAACAAAAAUGAAUUUCUAGACCAUAGGGUCAAGAACAUAGAUCUUGGUGAAUCAAUGCGCAAUUUAGUUCUGAAUUAAGAGUACAUAUUGACCAUUUGUACUGUCAAUGAUUGAUUUUCAAAGAGUUCCACAAAAGGCAUUUUUAGUUGCCUGAUUGUAUAUUUCCUCCAAAGAUUGCUUUGCUAAUUACCAUCAGUGGGCAAUAGGGAUUGCCAAGAGAAAAAAAUCCAUUGUAUCCCAAAGGAAUGGUACUGCCAAGUGUCUUGAUGGGCUCCUUCUCCACUUACCUGUGCCUGGGAGCAAAAUUCUGAAGUUGAAUUCUCUCUUAACUGAGAUUAGAAUAGGCUUAAUUGAAGGUGUCUGCAAUGGGGUCCAGCUUCAAACUCUUAAAUGCAGAAUUCAUGCAUUUCUACUGCACACAGAACAAAGCAUUCUACUGACCAUCACUAAAUCACGUUGUUUUGUUUCCUCCUUUACUUUUUACAAGAGCGAGUGUGAUCCACAAUUCAAAAGCAGAAAGGAAACACAAAGAAAACUGCGAUGAUGUGUGUGUGUGGGGGGCUCUCAUAUAAUUGCUUCACUUAAGUAUCUUAAAUAUUUAAAUAUCUGGUUUAUGUAAUGAUGAGUCGUUCAUCUAAUUAUAGGUAUGCAUGCCCUCUGUGGUCUAAGGAAGUGACCCUCAGAUGCAAAACAGAAUAAAGACUCUAUUCACUGUCUGCUUCCCUCAUGCGUGGAGCAAACGUUCAGCCAGUCACUCACUGAGCAGUGGGGAUAGAAUAGACAGAAUGGAGCCAACCCCAACGUUCUCGGUCUCCCUUGAACUUACCGCUCUAAAGAGGAAGGCAGUGAGCAGUGCAGAUAUAAAGAGAACACAAUUCCACUUUGAGGGGAGGGAUUUUGGCCUACGUAAGGAGUGGCCUGAAAAGAUUGAACCAAGAAAAGAGAAGACGGAGUUAGGGGAACUCUUGAGGCCCGGACUGUUGAGGGCCUUGUAGAACCGGGUAAGGAUGGUUUUGAGUGGAAGAAGGUUAGGAUUUGAUUUGUCCUGGAAUCCUUGAGUGCUGUGUAGUGAGUAGAUUGAGGACAAAGGAGUCAAAGUGAGGGUUCACAGCUUUAAGAGUUGGAGUUAUAGCAGUAGCCUUCUGUCCGACUGUCUUACUUAUGUCUAACAGUAGAGACUGGGAGAAAUCUGAACAUAUGGCUAGAUAUGACAGGAUUUAUUUCCAAAGGUUGACCAUGGGGCUGGGUAAGCGGGAAAUAUCAGAGGUGAGUCCCAGCUUUAGCUUCUAUGUCUGGAAGCCUCGGCAUUCCCUUUAACUGGUGUUGAUGUGGUUCUGGUAGAGUUGUGAAGGAUACAAUUUGGGUUUGGACAUGAUAAGGAAGUUGUUUAGACAUUUAGAUGGUUGAGGCUGGACACCAGUAAAGUCUUGGCUGCUGCCAUGAUGUUUGAGUCGUCUGUGUAGUUAGUAUUUAAAGUUAGGAGACUGACUGAACUAGGAAUUAUGAAGCAGAGUGACGAUGGGACUGGUCUCUGUUCUUUCUGUAGCAGGCUCUGAAAGAGAAAGGAGUCAGGAGAGGGAAUUCUUGUUACUGCAAACCUUGCAGCUACUUUGCCCAGGACUGUUGUGUUCCCUAACCCCACCUUGUCUCUAAAUGCAUCUAGGAGAGUUUUGAAGGGUGGAUGAGGGGAAAAGACUUUGGAACGAAGCGGCUAUCUCAGUCUCCCAUGCAAAUACCUGCCUUUGUGCUAGACCAGGAGGCCCACAGACAAAGCAAGGGGUAUACGUGCUAAGAAAAGAAAUUCAUCAUUGUUCAUCAGCUCUUGGAAUUGGAGGGCCUGUAGCUUAGUUCUAAUAAUACCUACUGUGUAAGCCUACUGAAAAGUAGUAAUACCCCAUGCUGUCAUCAGAAUGUUAAGGAAUCCAUGUUGAGGGCAUUUUAAACAGGUUGGUUUUUUUUUUUUUAAAUCUUCCUGGGAGUUAAAUCCCAGGAUGAUGUGUUUUAAUAAAUUAAUUUUGGUGAAUUUUAUGCUGUCAUGUUCUAGAAUGGGUGUUCUCAGUUACCUUGCUGGCUAGUCUUCCAAGGGGCAUGCUGUGGGGCUGUCCGACACACUAUUAUCAGGGUCACAGUCUUAAGUAUUUAAGAAGGGCUUUCGUGUUGCUUUUCACAGAGAAGCCCUGUGGAAAUUAUAUUAGUUUUAAGAUCAUCUAAUUUUGUUUCUUCUCGCUAUGGACACAGCUUAAUGAAAACCCUUUUGUGUACCAUGUGUUGGAUUUGUUUACUGUGCAAUAUGACAGCGAGGGAACAAGACCUUACAUUCCUGCUUCUCAGAAGUUUAUGAUGUGCUUGUGUACGGCAAUAAAUGGGGCUGGCUCCAGCUGGAUGCCUCUUUUGUUUGAUUGUUAUGUCAUGUCUGCAUCCAGAGAAAGGCUAAAGCUCCCGCGUUUCUUUUUAUAUUUAUUUUCCCCUUGUGCUGCCUCCCCAUCUCCCUCCACCUUCCCAGCACCAACUCAUCCCUUUGUCUUUUCUCUCUGUGCAAAGCUCUUGAGAGGCAAGCACAGAGAAAAACAGAGGUUGUAGAAGUACUUAAGAGCGCUGUUUCCCACUGGGGGCUGUGAACGAAAGCUUAUUAGAUGCUUCGGGAUGGUGGAGUGCAGUUUUCAGUUUACAUUGUAGGGAGUUCAGGUGUACAUGGGGACUGGUUUAUACAUUUUUUAAGGGUAGAUGAUCCAGCUGGGUGGAUCAGGGCAUUGUAAGCAUAGGACUAUUGAUUUGGGCAUUUAGAUUGGCCAGUUUUGGUUGGGAAUGGACCCUCUCGGGUAUGAGAGACUGUUUAACUACUUCCUGUCCACUAGACACCUCUCUACAACAGAAGUCACAUUAGCAUGUGUAUAGGUGUUUCUAUCUGCUGGUGAGUUGUAUUGGCUCCAGUUGAAAGCAUUAAAUCAGGGAAGACGGAAUCAGACAGAUGUAUUCAUGGAGGGAUGGAACUGUUAACUUGGAGAUCCCACCCAGUGCCUGAAAUGCAGAACAUUUGACUGAAAAAAAAUCCCCCUUAACUGUGAAAUGAUAACGGUCCCCACUUCCUCGCCUCCUUAAGGACCUUGACCAUGACCUCUACAGCUGCAGGAAAUAAUGGUUUAUCCUUCUAGGGUUGCGUAGGGAAGACACUGAACACUGUUUUAAGCACCUGUUGACAGUGCUGUUUCAUAGGAAGUGCCGAGGUCAGUGGAGGCUCGGGUCCUUGUCCCAGAACAAUGGCCACAUCUAGAAUUAGCGGUUCUUUCUUUGUUUUCUCUUUCUCUCUUUUGUAGUGUGGGGGUUGAACUCAUGACGUUAUUUGUGUUACGCAGGUGCUUUGCCACUGAGGUUCAUCAUCAGACCUAGAAUUUGUCUCUAGGGGUGCUCACAAGGCAUAAGUAGUACAAUAUUUGAAAGCCUGCAUUGUAUCCUUUAGAUGACCACAAUUAUAAUCAGCGUUUGAACAUUCAUGGGGACACCAUUAUUUACUGAAAAUGUAUAGAACUUAGGGACCUGAAUUUGCAAGUUUACUGUGUGUGUCUGUGAUUGCCCUGUCUCUUGGUUCUAGAAACCAGUUCAAUACUUCCUUCUGGAGCAACUCAGGGAAAGGUUCCACUUUUGGUGCCCAUGGCCAUCCUGUGUACAACGAAUGGUUCAUUAGUUGGGAAGGGUUCCUUCUACUCUGAUCCAACUCUACUCCGAAAAGCUAAACAGGGCUUUCAAUCUACCACUGUGUUGAGUCCAAUAGUACUUGCAAAAUUAAACACUUAAAACAAUCAAGCCAAGUGUAAGCAAUUUAAUAAACAGCUUCCCCCAUAAUAAUCAGAAACAUAGUAGCAUAAAUAUUGUUAGUAACAUUUGUAAUAAUAAUUCUUAACUUCAAUGAUUGUGUAGCUAACUUGCUCCACACACUAGAGUCCAGGUAAGACUGGGUUUUGCGACAGUUGACACAUAAGAGCAGCAGCUUUAUACGGCUUACACUGAACAAUAAACAUCCUGUUCUGCCCAUGACAGAAGAGAAUUAAGUGACAGCAGCUGUAUUAGGACCUUUGCUUUGGACAGAAGAGUAAAGCAGUGUCCGUGGUCUGAGACAGACUGUGGGGAAGCUCUGUUCGACCCGAGAUAGUACCAUCCAACAUGUCUUAGGUUUACAGCCCGGUCCCAGGCACACAAUUUCUGCCUUCUCACAGUGGCCCUUCGAGUAAAGGGAGCUGGUGGGAACGUUUGUUUUAAUUUUAAAAUUCGGGAGCGAUUCUUGAGAGAUUUUUUCCCUCAAGGUUACUAGCUAGAAAGUAUUGGACCAUGAACCAGGACCCAGGGUUGUAUUUUUUUCAACCAGUGUCUUUUCCAGACAACCUUCCAUAAAGUUACAGUGAGGCAUUUUCACCGCAUUCUAUACGCAGAUGUUUCCAGCAUCCCCAUUCGAGACCUUCCCCCACCCCAGGCCUACUAUAUUGCAUGGAUUUAAGGGAAGCAUUUAUUUUGCAUUCCCACUGGUGGUGUGAACUAAAGGGCCCCGAAAGGGACACAGUUCCCAGGACUCAUGCAGCUCCAUCCUGGGGUUUCUUUGCCAGGGCUGAGUAAAAUGACUCUUUGUGCCGGAAACUCACAAGACCUGACCCCACCUCAAACACUAUAUAACUUUUUACUGCCGCUUAUAGAAAUAGCUGCUCAGCUCUGCUAAAGGCAGAAGGAAGGUUUCCUCUGGUUAAGGGAAGAAGACCUCAGCAUUCGACAGUCAUCUUCUUUAGAGCAAUGGGGCCUGCAGGACUAAUGUCCUCUUCUGAGUCGGGUUCUUGUAGAAAAUUCAUUCAUACCCAAGGAGAACCUUAUACAUCUCUGAAUUGUAUUGCCAAAUAGUAUUAGAAGUGAGUUUUUAAUAUCCUCUAAGUAUGCAGGUAUUUUUUUUAACAAUACUUUUGUUGUUGCACACUUCCACUGAAUACGGAACCAAGACAGAAUUCUCUGCCAUACUGUCUCAUGUUCCAGAGGGUAACUGCCUUCUUGCCGCAGGUGAUCAGUUUUGUGCCCUCAGAAUUUAUGUGAGAAGGUUAGUGAUUAGGAGAGUGUGUGCGGUGUAGCAUUUCAGCCCACCAGGGAACAAGGCUGGUUAAAACUGGACAGGUAUAAGCUGCUGGUGUGAGCCUUGUCUUCUCAUACAGCCCCACCUCCCCAGCUCCUCUGGCCCCUGUCUAAGAAACUCUGUCGCCAAUACAGACCAGGAGGAAAGUUACCUAAAACAAUACCAACUGUACCCUUUUCACCAGCCAUAUUUCUUCAAAACAUCCUUCUGACAUACAUAAUUUAAUUCUUGCAAAGUCCAAUAGAGAAGGCAGAGAGAGUGAGCAAUCUAGUUGUUUCAACUUUACAAACUGAUAAACUGAGGCUCAGCAAAUGUACGUGAGGAAACUGCUUAAGUUAUGGAAUUGCAUGAGUAUUUGAAACCAUGCUAUAAAUAGUGUUACCAUUUCACUCAAAAAAUGAGGAAUUUAAAGGUAUAAACGAAAUUUAAGGAGUUUAAAUUCCCUGUGAAGUAAGCUUAGUACAGCUAUAUAAUGCUGACCUCAUUUUACAUAUAUUGUGUGUAUUUAUAGGGAGUAUUUUAUGUCCUACAAUAUAGAAGCCAGAACCAAUUAUGUUUAAAACAAGGACUUAGAAAGUCAGACUCCAUCAUUAGUUGGGAUUCGGUUUUUAAGGUGAAUUGUGUGUCCUCAAAAAGAUACGUUUGAGGCCCUCACGUUCAUUACCUCAUGACACAUUUUAGAAUAGUUUUUUUUCCAGAUAUAAUUGGAUCCAAAUGAGUUCACUAAUGUAGCAGCUGUGGGAGGCAGAGGUAGAUGUGCCCUGGGACAAUGGCAUGGAUAAAUAGAGGUGGCCUGACCAAGUUAGGGUGAAGGCACAGAAAUGUCCGUCAAUCAAAGAUGGCCAGAAACACUGGUCAUGGUGCUUGACCGACAGCAGGACAGACAGAUACUGUUGGAAGCCAGAGGCACAGAACAAGUCUUCCCCUCACAGCUUACACAGCCACGCCUUUAAUUUGCACUUUGACUCUUCAGAACUGCAAUGCAGUAAAUUUUCUUAUUUUAAGCUCAUUCCGUGUGUGAAGCUUUGCACAAUGUCAGUAGGAAAACAAUGCAGUAGGUCCCCCCACCUCUGCGGAAUACAUUCCAAGACUGUCUAGUGGGUGCCUGAAGCGUUGGGUACAGUAUCUACUUCUGUACACCCUGUGCUUUCCCCUAUAUACAUGUGCAGAGGGCAGAUUUCAUUUCAUGCAUUAAGUAUAGUAAGGGAUAAUGAAGACACACUAAAAGAGGACAAUUUAAAAGGAUAUAAUGCAGCAAAAGUCUUAACGAAUGCUCUCUCUCUCAGAAAGAGACCCAUGUCAAAAAGAGAGCUAUCAAACUGUUUGCCUGUUUUGUUGUGACAGUGUGAGAUCUGUCUGUUGAGUGCCUGUCUGAUGAGGAGGAGGAGGAUGGUGUAAGCAUCGUGCUCUCGGGCUCAGUGAGUUGGAAGAAGCAUCGCUGUGCCAUGCUCACCUCAGUUGACUGCAAAUUCGGAAGCUGUGGGACAUGCAACCGUGGACUGGGGAGACUACUGGUUCUGCUUCCUCUACCCCAGCCUCCUGACCUCUCCCGAGCCCAUUCAGGUGCUGUCUCCACUUUCACUUUCAUCCUUGUAACCGCAGAAGCAGCAUUGCAGGGUUCUGGCCUUCGUCUCAGAGGCAGCAGAAGCCACUGAGGUGUUCUCAGAGGAGAAGGAAGUGAGCAAACGUAGGUAAAUGGUGGAUUAUUGUGCACUACAUGGAUCUGGCAACCACAGUGAAAACGAAACCUGGGCCCCCUGCUGGCCCAACAUAUCCAUAGAAUAACCUUGGAUUUAGGAGCCCUGUCCCUUUGGGCCUCAGAUGUCAGGCUAGUCUCAUCUAUACAUCGUUCCUCAGACUGUGGGCCAGAGUGGGGUGAACUACAUGUCUACUGGGGACAAGUUCUGACCUGCUGACCUUGAGAGGUUCAGGAUGUCUUAAAGUGUGUGGUCUGGAAAGUCAACUCCUGCAAACUUGUGCACCUUCUGCCCCAGACCUGCUGAGGUGAGUUGUCUAGGGGAGUUUUCCAGUGCUUUUGGCAAUACAUGAGUGCUAAUCCUGGGGCAUGUGAGUGGAUGAGCUUACAACGAAAUGAAUUCACAAGGUUGUCUGUAUUAAAGUUAUAAAUCCCUGGAAUUGUGUAUUCCAACUUUGGUUGUAACUCUUAACUAUACAAAGAAAAUAAAAGGAUGAAGGUGGAUGCUUCACCAGCUGGUGGGAGGCCAUAUUUAAAUAAAUCGAGAGAAUAGAUUGGAAUUAGAGCCAUGUGGAAGUUCUACAGCCGUGUCGUACAACGUACCAUUGUAAGGAAGGAAGCCCUACAGAGGCCUCAGUUCUCGUGCAGUUCCUCUCUCAGGGGAACUCGUUUACUGGGUUCUGCAGCCAGUUGGGCUGUGUGUGGGUUGCUUCGUUCAGGGGUGAGGGUUGGUUGAUGCGGUGAUGUUCUCCAUGUCUGUCAUACAGCGUAUUGAUCUUGCUCAUGGAGAGUGUCAGUGAUGUUCCUUCUCUGUUUUUCACCUUCCAUCCCUCCAUUCAUUAUCGCCAGUGCACCCUCCUCGUCUUUGUUAGUCAUUCUUGUCACAGAGGGACAGGUCAUUAGAAAUAUCCCAAGGUCAGUGAAAUGGUGCGGCUCCGUGUUGCCGCAGAGUUUUCGAGGUGAUUGUUACCCAGACUUGCAUAAAGGCGUUAGCGUCGUAGUAAAGAUGCAGUGUUGUGUUUUGAGUCGGGGGUCCUCCUUAGCAUCAGUAAGAAACAGGGAUGAGUGAAUGACAUUUGUUUUUGUCAUGCUUCUGACCUGCAGAAGCUGCUCUUCAAUUAUUCAGAGCCCUCUUGGGUGGCAGAAUCCAUGGGCCUUUCAAGUGUGGUGCUGACACCUAGCUUUUUAAGAGUUAGGAACUAUUUACGACAUAGACAAACCAGUAAGGAUGAUACAGCAAACACCUAUGGUACCACUGGAAGGGAAGGAGCCCAAGAAUGGCAUAUACAUGUUUUACAGCUUGGAAGUGGUGUGUGUGUAUGUGUGUGUCUCCCUUCACUGAGUAGUAACCCUGACUGCUGUGACUUAGUGUGUGCUGUAACCAGCCUCCAUUGGGUUCUUGGGACAGUCACGACACAAAGAGAAGAUUAUAUUGAUGGCAUUGAUCAUGGGUGCUUCACAUUCACCAACAGCAGCAUAGUACACAUCUCUGGCAAAUGCUCCAAUCAGAAAGUUCCAGCAUAAAGAGGAAGCUAGUGUAGGUGGCCAUUAAAUAUGCCUCUUUCUCUAUCUGCCCUCUAUGGAGUAUGAAGACGUGACCUCAGUAGAGAACCAGAACACCAGGUUAGCCCACUCCCUUUACUCCUGUUUGGGCCCAGGGUUUCUUGGAGAUCUAUGUUUCCCCUAUUCCUGCUUCCAGGAGAGAUGUUCUAUCAGCAUGGCUGUCUUCACUCAAGCAGCCCACCCAACCCUCAGUUCUGGAAGAACUUUUUUCUUCUAUCUGAGCAGCAACAGUGGCAGGAAGUUGAGCAGAUGUCCCUACUUCUAACAAUUUGGAGAGGUGCACUUUCCAAACCCAGAGCAUUUGUGGUGACAAUUUUAAGAAGACUUUCAGUGGGGUGGGGAGUGUCUUCUCUCUACCUUACUCCACUCUUCAUUCCAUUGUCUAGGUUACUUCGUGAGCUCUCUUGCCCCCCUCAUCCCCACAGCUUAUUCUGGGAAGACUAGAUCCUAUCACACACAACUUUUCUAAACUCGGAGAGGGAACAGCCCCUCCCCAUAAAUAACUGCAGAGAAAAGAUGAUUUUCAGUUUACCCUCAUCCAGCAACUUCAAAUAAGAGUCAGUUUACUGAGCCAAGGCCCACUGUUCAAAAAUGGUUACUGAAUUAAAGAAAGGGCCAUUGAGAACUUGAGUCUCGGAGUUUUUCAUAGAAUGAAUGUGUUAACUUUUGUGUGUGGUAUGAGUUAACAAUACAAAUGGCCUUUCAGUUGAAACUAUUUUUGGACUAGGUGUGGGAGUGAGUCCAUCUAUGUCUCUAACAGCUGGUAAGGGAGAGGAACCAAACACGUAUAUUUACCUCCAUCGAAACAGAGUUAAUUAACAGCAAAUCAUCUGAUUAUUUUAGUUUUGUGUAAAAACACAGAUUUUUAAGUUACUUUUGAUGAUUCAGAGAAAGUAUUAAGAAACGAUCUAGACCUUUAAUCGACAGACUUUCUUCCAUGCUUUUCUUUAAAACAUUCUGCUGUUUUGCAUUCAGAUAGAUAAAUCAUUGUUAGACAGAGGUCCUAAGAAGAUGGAGAAUGACUUUUCAAGCCUAGGUUUCCGGCUAUGAAAUAAAUGGAGCAGAGGAGGCCGAUUUGGACCUGGUUAGGAUUGAUUUAGUUCAUACCAGGAAAGUUCCUUCACUCCCGAAGCCUGGGUGGGUUCUUAGACUCAGGAGAGGAGACGAUCCUAGCUGACCGGUGGAGUUGUUGUGGGGUUAGGGGAGCUAAUGAAGCGUUCUGUCGCUGAACAAUGAAUGGGAGCUCAGUGGCCUACCAGAGCCUCUUUCCUUUUCUGUGGGCCUUGUGAGGGUUAGCUUGGGUUAACUGUAGCGUAGAUGGAUAGUUAAGUGCGAAGGGGAGCUUUUGAUGGCUCUCUGACCAUCGAGGAUGAGGAAAAUCAGUGGAGUGACUGGAUGUCUUCAAGAGAGCAGGGCUGUUGGUAGAGAAAGAUUAGGUUCCAUUAAGUCUGUUUCUCAAAGUCUAAACUUUCUCUUUACGCUAUUGUAUGACCCAUGAUCCAGCAAUUGUCACUCUUAAAUCCCAUAAAACCUAGUGGCCACUCUUGAUCUCUCUUGACUGACUGCCAUGCCUCCAAAGGAUCUGUAUAUGUGGGUAAAUAUUCCCAGCACUGUAUUCAUUAAGACAGAGUUGGAGAACAUGCAACUUUCAGGUUCCGUUUUUGUCAUGAGAACUUUUCAUUUAUAUCUUCCUGAAAUGUGGGACUGCUCAGAAUUUGCGUUUCUCUCUGUGUAGCGUGACAUGGCACCCAGUUGCAAAGUUGAUGCUCAGGAGUAGAGGAUGUCUUAUUUAUUCCAUGCACAUGUUGAUUUAAAACUGUAUGAACAUUGGCAGUUUUCUCUUUGCCACAUGAACUGCAUGUUCAAUUAGAAUAUCAGUUCCUCCUGCACCCCACCAGCAUAGCGCACAUGUACACACACACACACACACACACCCUGCUCAUGCUAACACAGUAAGAGGCACUCACCUCUAUAAGAAUCCAAUGACUUGUCUUGUAUUAGUUUCUUAUCACUGUGAGAAAAUGCCAGAAGGAAAGACUUAGUUUUGCUCCUCACUAUAGAGGGUUCAGCCCAUGGUCAGAUGGUUCCAUUUCCAUUGAGUCUAUGGAAAAACAGACAUCCUGGUUUGGAAUGUGUGAGACAGAUUUACUACAUUUUGGAUUAAAAGUAAAACAGAAAAAGACCAGCAUGUCAGUAUCCCUUGCAGGGACACGUUUCCAGGUGUCAAACCUGCUUGCACUGGGCCCCACCUGUCAAAAUUCUCCCCUUCUACAGUGCUGCAGACUGAGAGCUAGCCUUCUGCAUAUGGGCCUUGAAGGAUAUUUAAGAUCCAAACCAUCACAUCUUGCCUGUUUCUCAGCACACCUUUCUUCCUGCCACACUCUCCAGGGUUUCCUGUUCAUCAUCUGAUGUUGUAGAUUGUGAUUUUAGGUUGUGAUUUUGGGUCAUAUAGAGUUGUUUAUUGGAACACUUAUAUCUAACCAAGAGCCCAGAUGCUGGCAGAGAUAAUGAAUAACAAGGAGUAUCAUGCAGGAUAGUUCAGUCAAUGGCAAAUUCUUGAGUUAACAUGGCCUAGAAUUUUACAGGUUGAGGACUGGGACUUUAUAAUAAAGACUGAGGCAUAUUGAAAUAUUGACAAGGCUUUCCAGUGAUCUUGACCUGACAUGACUAAGUGAUGAGUCUUUGAGGUUAAUGGGCUAAAAUUCAAGCAAGAAGCAUUUCACAUCUCCAGGAACAAGACUCCUAGCUGACUUGUGGAGAUGCUGUUGGUGUGCCAGUCAGUCACAGUGCUGGGUCAGCAUUGGAACUACAGGCACCUUGGUUUGUGGUGAGCUUUUUCACAGAGGGUGAGUCUGUUGGGAGGCACCAACCAGAAGGCAGCCCCGAGAGGAAGGCAUAUACAUGCUUUCUGGAGGGUGUGGACAUUGGAAACCUGUGAAAGAACAGGGCAUAGAAGGCCAGCCGUAGCUCUCUUUAGAUAUAUGGUUUGGGAUUUUAGAUAGAUUUCUGGGACAAUCACUUUACUGUAGGUGGGGUAUGGGGUAGAAAAUACCUCUGCUCUCUGUAAGCCUAGAAAUCUCGUUCACUGAGAUGAGACAGAAGGGGCAGCAAAGGAGCAGAAUUUGUUGAUAUCGCACUCGUUCUGCCAAGAAUGGGGGA
rnacentral:sRNA from 1 species